AUAGGCUCGACGUAGAUUUGACGAUCGAGUCGUAGAUUUGGUGAUUCGACGUCGUAGAUUCGGCGUAAAGUCAUAGAUUCGACGAACGAGUCGUAUACUCCCAACGAAAUGUUGGGAUCAAGUCAGGACGUCGAGGCUCGUACUUCUGACACGGGCUGACCUUCGACGAGGAGCCAAACUUUGUAGACUCUGGAGUUUUGAAAUUGUAUUGUAUUCCGAGCA
rnacentral:lncRNA from 1 species